AUUUUUCAGGUGUUUAGAAACAGCCAAAUAACACCCUUGCUGCAUUUUCCCAACCAGGCAGAUAUUGUCCUUCUGCAGUUAUUCAUUGACUAACUUCUCGUAGCAGCCCACUUUUUUCCUUAGUCCCGGCUGGACUGCCAAACUGCAGUGCGUCCAAAAAAAAAAAAAAAAGGUAAUCGCAGAGACCUCCUUAAAGCAGGCGAAGAUAACAGCCUACUGAUAGAAAAAGAUAGAAAAGCUGGGCUGCAUAUCACUGAGAGAGAAGAACGAAGGAUCAGGAAGGCUUGCAGAUUCAGCCAACGGGAGCCAUCCAGCGAAUCCGACAACGCAGCAAAAUUAUUCAUAAAGAUUGUGACCAAGCACAGAAAUAAGACUGUGCUGUAUUUGAAGAAGGGCAGCCAGAGAAGAACAGAAGGACAAAAUGAGCAAACCCCAAUACAAGAAGAUGGAAGUUGAUGUACCUGAAGCCCAGAAUCCUCCCCCCUAUAUAGAAAACCAACCGGGAUAUUCUGGUCACGGUUUCUUGGGGGGGCCCCAGUAUCAACCUCCUUAUGAUCCAAGAUACAACACAGGCCUGUUUAUUCAACCGAUGCAAACCAUGAACUUCGUACGCCUCCAACCCACCAAGGAGCCUGAUUACAUGGCCUACUCCAUCUUCACCAUGCUUUGCUGUUGCUUACCUCUGGGAAUUGCUGCCCUGAUUUAUUCUGUGCAGACCCAAGAAGCCAACCGCACUGGAAAUGCAGAAUCUGCUCAACGAAGUUCAAAGCUGGCACGAAAUUUGGCCCACGCUGCACUUGCAGUGGGGCUGGGGGGCCUAACUAUAUAUAUCAUCUUUGUUAUACUCAUGUACACUCAAGGAGUCUCUGAGCUGAUAAACAAUCCCUAUACUAUAUCCCCAUAAACUCUAAGGGUAAACUACUAGAAUAUAGGAAAAGUUCUAAGGCAGUUCAAAUUAACAAAAUUGCUUAAUCAUUACAUGAAUACAGUUCUAUGUGGCUGAAUGGUAAGCUGCUGAGAUACUAAAGCACCCAUUUAACGCUUAAUACUAAAAUGCCAAAAUAAUUUAGAAAUAAUUCUGGCUAGGUAUAAUAAAAUGUGAGGUGCUACAUGAAAGUAGUUAAGA
rnacentral:lncRNA from 1 species